GACUGCACACUUGGGGCAAGGGGGCCCCUGAAAACGGGAUAAGCGGUGGAAACGCCGUCUAAUACCGGAUACGACCCUCCUCCGCAUGGUGGGGGGUGGAAAGUUUUUUCGGUCGGGGAUGGGCUCGCGGCCUAUCAGCUUGUUGGUGGGGUAACGGCCUACCAAGGCGAUUACGGGUAGCCGGCCUGAGAGGGCGACCGGCCACACUGGGACUGAGACACGGCCCAGACUCCUGCGGGAGGCAGCAGUGGGGAAUAUUGCGCAAUGGGCGAAAGCCUGACGCAUCGACGCCGCGUGGGGGAUGACGGCCUUCGGGUUGUAAACCUCUUUUACCACUCACGCAGGCCCCACGUUUUCGUGGGGUUGACGGUAGGUGGGGAAUAAGGACCGGCUAACUACGUGCCAGUCNCCGCGGUAAUACGUAGGGUCCGAGCGUUGUCCGGAAUUAUUGGGUGUAAAGAGCUCGUAAGCAUGCGUGUCGCGUCUGCUGUGAAAGACCGGGGCUUAACUCCGGUUUUGCAUUGGGAUACGGGCAUGCCAGAGGGGGGGUAUGGGAGACUUGAAUUCCCNGGUGGAAACCGUGGAAAGGGCCCCAUAUCUGG
rnacentral:rRNA from 1 species